GACGAACGCUGGCGGCGUGCUUAACACAUGCAAGUCGAACGGUAAGGCCCUUCGGGUACACGGGUGGCGAACGGGUGAGUAACACGUGGUGAUCUGCCCUGCACUCUGGGAUAAGCCUGGGAAACUGGGUCUAAUACCGAAUAGGACUCCGGACUUCACGGUCUGGGUGGAAAGCUUUUGCGGUGUGGGAUGGGCCCGCGGCCUAUCAGCUUGUUGGUGGGGUAAUGGCCUACCAAGGCGACGACGGGUAGCCGGCCUGAGAGGGUGUCCGGCCACACUGGGACUGAGAUACGGCCCAGACUCCUACGGGAGGCAGCAGUGGGGAAUAUUGCACAAUGGGCGCAAGCCUGAUGCAGCGACGCCGCGUGGGGGA
rnacentral:rRNA from 1 species